GACCUGAUAGCAUAAUUGGAUUGUGUGCCUGCUCAAUAUGUGGAGAUACAUGUUGUGAAGCAGGAGGUCCCCGUUCGAUCCGGGGUCGGGUUA